CGCCCGAGGCGGUGCCCGGGGCCGUGGCCGGAUCCGCCGAGAGGAGGGUCCGCAUUGGUGUCGAGGCUCCAACGUCUCUCUCCGGAGGCGCGGAUCCGGUGCCUGCUGGCCGUUGGCCACGCUCGCGCGUCUCUGGUCGCCAUGGCAUGCGCUACCGGCCGCUGGUGUCCCGUCGUCCGCAAGGCCCCCCCUGCUCCAAGAAGAAGAGAGAAGGAGAGGACGCCCCAGGAGCAGAGCCCCCUUGCACAGCAGUAAGACACAGAGGAGGAAGCCAGCAAGGAGAAGCAAGGAAGAAGAAAGAGGAGAAGUGGAGCAGCUCGCUCGCAAUCGAUUGUAUUGAAUGUAUGUGGGAUUGAAAUUUUUCUUUCUUUUUGAAAUUUUUUUGAAAUAGAGAUGCAUGUGGAAUUGUAUUGAAUGUAUCAAUCUUGUAAUCUAUUCUUUGAAUGAUUUGUGAGAUUUAUGGAAUUUGUAUCGGUCGAUUUAAUA